rnacentral:lncRNA from 1 species
CUUGUUUUAAAACUAAUUUCAUGUAGUUUAACUUCUUUUUUUCAGAUCUAAAGAGCUGAAUUUAUUAGAUGGAAAAUGAACAACAAAUUGAAUUAACAGAGUUUACAGAUGUUAAGGUACAAGUAUAAACUUUAUCGACCGGUUCAUUGUACCAUCUCAUUGAAGCUAAUCAUGCGACUAACUGGAGGCGUAUGUGUUGCAGUCAUUCUGGUUUGAGUUUAAACGGUUCCGGUUUUAAAUGGUUAGAACCUAUUAAAACCGGCUUUGGUUCACCGUUUAUCAAAACAAAUAAAUAAAUAUACAAUUUAUAUAUAUUGUUGGAAAAUAUAAAAUUUAUUGGUACGAGCCUUUCUCCUUUUUCGUAGCGAGAACAAAUACAUUUUAUAUUUCCGACAAGGUACAUAUAUAUUGUAUUUAUCCUGAAAAUAAUUGACUUUGCAUAAGACAGAAUGAAAAAUAAAUAUUUUGUGACAUGACUUGCAUAAUAGUCGAGGAACAAAAUGUUUAAGGAGUUUGCGAAUCAAAUUGAAUAAAAUAUCAAAACAUGCUAUAGUUUUUCUUUUACAAAUAGUGACUUAGAUUGGGAGUUGUCUCGUUGCCACUCACACCACAUCUUCCUAUAUCUAAUUGAUAACCGAUGCAAUGAAUGAUAAAUCUGGGGGGAAAUCCCCCUCCCUCUCUGAAUAUAAUAUUGAAUAUUUUUAUCUACAAUAAUAUCCUAUAUGGUUUGUCAUUUAAAUUCCUAAUAAAAAUUGGUAUGAUUGAAAAUACAUGUAUAUUUGCUACUUUUCUAACAGCGCUUGACAUAAAAAAAACUUUACGAAAAGUUAAUUCAUAGUUAAACAUGGAAAACGGAGAUUUGUCCACGUAUUAAUAAUGCAACCAAACGGCUCCCCGGCAUUUCCAGCUCCGAUCCACAUACGGGUCCGCAUACUACUCUACACUAAAGUAAUGGAGUAAAGGAAAAUUGUUCCGGAACGGAAACGAUCACUGUACGAAGUUUGCAACCCAACUACAGUAGAGUGAUUGAUUGUUGGUUGCUUAACGUUCAGUGGCAAAUAUUUCAUGCAUAUUCAGGACGAUUGACAUAAGAUUCAAAGGGUAAUAAACAAUUCUUGCUCCUUGUAUCAUAUCAAGGCGAUUAGUCCUUUUGGGAUAGAUAUAUUAAUAUAAUGAAAAAGGGUUAAUUUUAUUAUUGAUUGAUUGUUGGUUUAUUAACGUCCAGUGGCAAAUUUUAUGAUAGAUUAUAUUAGGAUCAUACUUUAAGGGAUCAGUUCUAUAAUAUGUAUCGCUGGGCCGUCAGAUAAAUCUCAGUGGCGGAUGCAGGAAUUUUCGAAAGGGGGUGCUAGCCCAGGGCAAAGGGGGUGCAGGGGGGGGUGCAAACAUAUGUCCCGAUUCAAAUGCAUUGAUCGGCCAAAAUAAAGGGGGGGGCGGACCCCGGAACCCCCUCUGGAUCCGCCACUGAAUCUGACUGAACCAUUAUGUUUAUGAAUGCCCAUAUAUAUAUUUUAAAUCUUAAUCUUUGUAGUUCGACCAAUAAAUACCUAAAUACACCCACACUUUCUUUAUAAAAUACAUAGAUGGUAGAAUAAACUUGUUGUUGUCACAGCAUGCACUACACCUAAAAUGCAAACAGACUGACACAACAAAUAUGUAUUGUUUAAUUGAUUAAGGAAUGACUAUGUACCUAUGUUUCAAGCGAUUAACUCUCAACACACUUGUUAGCAAUCAAAUUCGUUUCAACGCAAUUAAUUGAUUCCAGAGUACAUGCACACUGAAUGUAGCCAACUGAAUUUGAUAGUUUGUUCGUAUGUUGUACAAUUACACCAUUGUCGUGGUUUGGGGUGGGUGAGCUACAGACAUUUUCUUAUGUCGAAAAUGGUGGAUUCAAACGGCUUUUGUAGCUAGGUAAACCUCUCACUUGUAUAUAAACUUCUCACUAAAUAAGCUUCAGUCCUAUUUUUCAAGAAUUUUACUUCUGUAUUUUUGUUUAUUUAUUUUACUUUUUUCCCAAGGUUAUUGGCCAGUACUAAAUUGGUAUAAAACAUAUAACAAUAAUUGUAUUUUGUUCUGUUAUCAGGUCCAGGAUGAAGACGAUUUUGCAACAGAACAACACAAACCGAUUUCCAAAAAAAUGAAAUAUGUCUGGAGGACCUUGGAAAUCGUCAUUAUAACAUCGGUAGUCUUACUGAUUAGUUUCAUAAUAAGAAAGUCAUUGGAAGUAAAUAUUUGCAUCCGGCAUAAUUUAUUUGUAUAAUAAUAAUUUGAAAUGUGAAUUUAACACAGUGAGAAUAGCGUUUAACGCUAGUGCUGGGACACACAUAUUCACAGAGGAGUGUUACAAUUGCCAAACAUGAACAAGAAAAUAGCAAAAUAAAGCUAGAAAUCCGUACUAUUUAUAUUUAUUUGUUAAACAUUUGUACUUGAAAUGAUUGUUGAUGAAUGUAUAUUUUUUGCUUGUAUGUUUGUUUUUAAAAUAAAAUUUUAAUGUCAAAAUCG